rnacentral:lncRNA from 1 species
AGAGAAAUGAGAGGACGAAGACAAUGACGUUAUGACAAAAUACAAUGCAAUGCCGAAAAAGAUAAAAAGUAGAGGUGCGCAAGGGAGUAAAAGAAAAGGAGAACCAGAGAAAAAGGAGAAAAGAUGAAGACGCGAUCAGAAACUGAGUGGUUAGAAGGGUCUGCGGUUUAUUUAAAAUGAAAUUGGGCGUCGAUUGCGCCAUAAAUCGACGUCUAUAGACGUCAGUGUUUGAUCGGGAUCCGACGUUUAUUCUUCUUAAAGAAGCUGAAAAGAUUGACGGUUGAUUUCCUGUCAGGGUAAUUCACGUCGGUGCCCCUCCUAGCCGACGUCUAAAACUCUCGAAUUUGGUGAAAAUAAUCAAUUACAGGAACGUAGACGUCGAUUACAUUCCAAACCGACGUCUAAAUUGAAGGAUUUUUGUCUUCCCGC